CCUACGGGAGGCAGCAGUGGGGAAUAUUGGGCAAUGGGCGCAAGCCUGACCCAGCCACGUCGCGUGAAGGAAGAAGGCUUUCGGGUUGGAAAAUUCUUUUUUUAGGGACGAAAGAAAUGACGGUACCUCAUGAAUAAGCCACGGCUAACUACGUGCCAGCAGCCGCGGUAAUACGUAGGUUGCAAGCGUUAUCCGGAUUUACUGGGUGUAAAGGGCGUGUAGGCGGGACUGCAAGUCAGAUGUGAAAAUUAUGGGCUCAACCCAUAAACUGCAAUUGAAACUGUAGUUCUUGAGUGAAGGAGAGGCAGGCGGAAUUCGGUGUGUAGCGGUGAAAUGCGUAGAUAUAAGGAGGAACACCAGUGGCGAAGGCGGCCUGCUGGACAUUAACUGACGCUGAGGCGCGAAAGCGUGGGGAGCAAACAGGAUUAGAUACCCUAGUAGUC
rnacentral:rRNA from 1 species